UACAGAGGGGGCAAGCGUUGUUCGGAAUUACUGGGCGUAAAGGGCGCGUAGGCGGCCGCCUAAGUCAGACGUGAAAUCCCCCGGCUUAACCUGGGAACUGCGUCUGAUACUGGACGGCUUGAGUAUGGGAGAGGAACGUAGAAUUCCAGGUGUAGCGGUGAAAUGCGUAGAUAUCUGGAGGAAUACCGGUGGCGAAGGCGGCGUUCUGGACCAUUACUGACACUGAAUCGCGAAAGCUAGGGGAGCAAACGGG
rnacentral:rRNA from 1 species